rnacentral:rRNA from 1 species
UACGUAGGGUGCAAGCGUUGUCCGGAAUUAUUGGGCGUAAAGAGCUCGUAGGCGGUCUGUCACGUCGGCUGUGAAAACCCGAGGCUCAACCUCGGGCCUGCAGUCGAUACGGGCAAACUAGAGUGUUGCAGGGGAGACUGGAAUUCCUGGUGUAGCGGUGAAAUGCGCAGAUAUCAGGAGGAACACCGGUGGCGAAGGCGGGUCUCUGGGCCGAUAUUGACGCUGAGGAGCGAAAGCGUGGGGAGCGAACAGG